CGAAAGACGCGUCCGGUACUGUAAAAUUGGAACAUACAGAGAAGAUUAGCGUGGUCCCUGUGUAGAAAUGACACGCAAAUUCGUGAACUGUUCCAACAUUUU
rnacentral:snRNA from 1 species